UAGGGCAUCUGGUUUGGAAAAUUAAGCUGAGACCACAUUUUGACUUUGAAUGUUGGGGAGGGGGAGAAGAAGUGGACGGAUCCAAACAAGGAACACUUAACUUGAAUGAAACAAAGAUAAGUCGUUAGAAAACUUUUGUAGGAACAGUGCCUUGUGUGAUCAGAACAAAGCCGUUUUAUAAUCAGAUUUACCAAGCUGAGAAGAAGGAGUUUCAGCAAACGGAAGCUGCAGUGUUCUAUCACCAGGAAACACUGCGUUUUCCAGAAUCGAACUGGCCAUGUGAAAACCCACUAUGAGCAUGGGUACAGUCCACCAUCUACAAUUAAACUGAGGACAGAAGAAGAAUGCUGUUGUCAAGCCAUGUGAUUUUUAUCAACAGUUUUAUUGAGGAAUGAUAAAGGAAGAAUAGCACAUACUUCAUGUGAGAAGUUUGAGUGUGGAUAUACCUAUGAUGCCAUAACUCAAUUCCCCAUA